AACGAACGCUGGCGGCAUGCCUAAUACAUGCAAGUCGAACGAUCACUUCGGUGGUCGUGGCGCACGGGUGCGUAACGCGUGGGAACCUGCCCUUGGGUUCGGAAUAACGUCGGGAAACUGACGCUAAUACCGGAUGAUGACGGAAGUCCAAAGAUUUAUCGCCCAGGGAUGCGGCCGCGUAGGAUUAGCUAGUUGGUGGGGUAAAGGGCUACCAGGGCGACGAUCCUUAGCUGGUCUGAGAGGAUGAUCAGCCACACUGGGACUGAGACACGGCCCAGACUCCUACGGGAGGCAGCAGUAGGGAAUAUUGGACAAUGGGGGCAACCCUGAUCCAGCAAUGCCGCGUGAGUGAUGAAGGCCUUAGGGUUGUAAAGCUCUAUUGCCCGGGAUGAUAAUGACAGUACCGGGAGAAUAAGCCCCGACUAACUCCGUGCCAGCCGCCGCCGUAA
rnacentral:rRNA from 1 species